UACGUAGGGGGCAAGCGUUGUUCGGAAUUACUGGGCGUAAAGUGUGCGCAGGCGGCCGAGCAAGUCGAGUGUGAAAGCCCCGAGCUUAACUUGGGAACUGCGCUCGAAACUACUUGGCUAGAGUGUGGCAGAGGGAGGUGGAAUUCCACGUGUAGCGGUGAAAUGCGUAGAGAUGUGGAGGAACACCGAUGGCGAAGGCAGCCUCCUGGGCCAACACUGACGCUCAUGCACGAAAGCGUGGGGAGCAAACAGG
rnacentral:rRNA from 1 species